UUGAUAGUACCUUACUACUUGGAUAACCCGUGGUAAUUCUAGAGCUAAUACAUGCUAAAAACCCCAACUUCGGGAGGGGUGUAUUUAUUAGAUAAAAAACCAAUGCCCUUCGGGGCUCCUUGGUGAUUCAUGAUAACUUCUCAGAUCGCAUGGCCUUGUGCUGGCGACGGUUCAUUCAAAUUUCUGCCCUAUCAACUUUCGAUGGUAAGGUAUUGGCUUACCAUGGUUUCAACGGGUAACGGGGAAUUAGGGUUCGAUUCCGGAGAGGGAGCCUGAGAAACGGCUACCACAUCCAAGGAAGGCAGCAGGCGCGCAAAUUACCCAAUUCCGAUACGGAGAGGUAGUGACAAUAAAUACUGAUACAGGGCUCUUUUGGGUCUUGUAAUUGGAAUGAGUACAAUUUAAACCUCUUAACGAGGAACAAUUGGAGGGCAAGUCUGGUGCCAGCAGCCGCGGUAAUUCCAGCUCCAAUAGCGUAUAUUAAAGUUGUUGCAGUUAAAAAGCUCGUAGUUGAACCUUUGGCCUGGCUGGCAGGUCCGCCUCACCGCGUGCACUUGUCCGGCCGGGCCUUUUCUUCUGGAGAACCGCAUGCCCUUCACUGGGUGUGUUGGGGACCAGGACUUUUACUUUGAAAAAAUUAGAGUGUUCAAAGCAGGCCUUUGCUCGAAUACGUUAGCAUGGAAUAAUAGAAUAGGACGUGCGGUCCUAUUUUGUUGGUUUCUAGGACCGCCGUAAUGAUUAAUAGGGACAGUCGGGGGCAUCAGUAUUCAAUUGUCAGAGGUGAAAUUCUUGGAUUUAUUGAAGACUAACUACUGCGAAAGCAUUUGCCAAGGAUGUUUUCAUUAAUCAGUGAACGAAAGUUAGGGGAUCGAAGACGAUCAGAUACCGUCGUAGUCUUAACCAUAAACUAUGCCGACUAGGGAUCGG
rnacentral:rRNA from 1 species